rnacentral:rRNA from 1 species
ACGGAGGGUGCAAGCGUUAAUCGGAUUUACUGGGCGUAAAGCGUGUGUAGGCGGUUCGUUAAGUCGGAUGUGAAAGCCCUGGGCUCAACCUGGGAAUUGCACUCGAUACUGGCGAGCUAGAGUACGGUAGAGGGCGGCGGAAUUCCGGGUGUAGCGGUGAAAUGCAUAGAUACCGUCAGGAACACCGAUAGCGAAGGCAUUGUACUGGCCAACAACUGACGCUGAGGCACGAAAGCAUGGGGAGCGAACAGGA